UGGCGGGUGAAAUCCCUCGGCUUAACCGGGGAACUGCCGGGCAGACUGGGGGGCUUGAGUCCGGGAGAGGUGAGUGGAAUUCCCAGUGUAGCGGUGAAAUGCGUAGAUAUUGGGAGGAACACCAGUGGCGAAGGCGGCUCACUGGACCGGAACUGACGCUGAGGCGCGAAAGCGUGGGGAGCAAACAG
rnacentral:rRNA from 1 species